AUAAUAUAUACACUUUGCCACUGCUUUAAUUGUAUGGGAGCAUUGGUGAUCUGUGCGUCUCUUAGUACAAACUUGUUAGUGAAGGGUAAAUCCAUAAUGAGUAUGGGGAUAUGAAGUCAGAUCCACACGUCCCCUCAUCAACAGGUGCCUCACUACAAGCAACUAUUUGAGAGAGCAAACAAGGCAUAGUUUACUGCUGCUCUUCCAUCACCAGCUGACCAAAU